CCAUGUACUAAAGUGAAGUGUGUCUGUGGCACGGAAGCAGAAAUUCAUAUUUUUAAUCAUGAUCUUCUCAUCAGCUCUGCUUCUGCUGGCAGCAGCUGCAUCCUGUGGUGUUUUCUGUGUUGAGCUCACUCAACCUUCAUCUAUGGUUGUGAAACCUCAAGAAUCAUUCUCCAUCUCCUGCAGGAUUUCAGAAUCAAGCUAUUGCAUUAAUUGGAUCCGUCAACCCACUGGAAAAACAAUGGAAUGGCUUGGAUAUCUUUGUGAUGGUGGUGGCACUAAAACUACAGACUCAGUGAAAAACAAGAUCAGUUUCACCCAGGACACGUCCAAAAACACAGUGUUUCUACAGGGGAAGAAUUUUGAGACUGAGGACUCAGCCGUGUAUUACUGUGCAAGAUACACACAGUGACUAAACAAGCCACCGCUCUGUACAAAAAAAGUUUAAACACAUUAAACAAAUGAACAUCAGCUCAACUGGUUUUAUUCAACUCAAUAUUAACAUGACUAUACCAACAAAAGUUAUUUUUGUGGUCAAGAUCAGGUAUAAAUGAUUAUUAAAGGUAACGACUGCACACAUUCAGUCAUUACAGUGUAUUAUACAAUUCCACUUAUAAACCAUGUCUUAUCUGUAUGAGUGCAGUGAGAUUGUGAGACGUUUUUAUUAUUUUUGAGCAUUAUUAAACAGUUUUUCAUUGAAACAUGAUAUAUACUCUCAGUCUGUUCAGGGACGUUUCAGCAUCUCCAGAGACAACAGCAAUAAACAGAUGUAUCUGCAGAUGAAUAAUAUGAAGAAUGAAGACACUGCUGUAUAUUAUUGUGCAAGAAAACCACAUUGACAAAUACAACUACAGUACUGUACAAAAUCUGAAUAUAACAAGCAGCAAAUUAAACUGCAUACAUGCUUUCAUGACAUCCUGUUGAGAAGUUCCCAUUGCAUUUCCACUUGAAAACUGUUUGGAACAAUUAACAU